UACGGAGGGUGCAAGCGUUGCUCGGAAUUAUUGGGCGUAAAGGGUAGGUAGGUGGUCUCAUUUGUCUGGGGUGAAAGCCUUGAGCUUAACUCAAGAAGUGCCCCCAGAAACGGUGAGACUAGAGUCUUGGAGAGGGUCGUGGAAUUCCCGGUGUAGCGGUGAAAUGCGUAGAUAUCUGGAGGAACACCGGUGGCGAAGGCGGCGAUCCUGGACCAAUUCUGACGCUGAGGAGCGAAAGCCAGGGGAGCAAACGGG
rnacentral:rRNA from 1 species